rnacentral:rRNA from 1 species
UGCGUAGGCGGCCCGGAAAGUUGGGUGUGAAAUCCCUCGGCUCAACCGAGGAACUGCGCCCAAAACUACCGGGCUUGAGGAAGAUAGAGGUGAGCGGAACUUGGGGUGGAGCGGUGAAAUGCGUUGAUAUCCUAAGGAACACCAGUUGCGAAAGCGGCUCACUGGGUCUUUUCUGACGCUGAGGCACGAAAGCUAGGGGAGCGAAGAGGAUUAGAUACCCUCGUAGUCCUAGCCGUAAACGAUGAGCACUGGGUUGGAGGGUCCUCCAUAGCCUUCUAGCCGUAGCGAAAGUGUUAAGUGCUCCGCCUGGGGAGUAUGGUCGCAAGGCUGAA